CCCCCUGCACAAGACUUGCUGCACAUGCUCCAUUCACCUGGCUUCCAACUUGCAGCGAAAAACAGAAUUGUUUCCAAUCAAGUGGAGACUUUGGGACAUCACAACCAGUAAGGCAUUAUGGCUGAAGAAUAAAUGAAAGGUGUGGUAUUUCCACUAGGGAGUCUGCUGUACAAUGAAAAGAGUAACUUGAUAUCUUUCAUAUUGUAUAGCUAGCCAAAGACUGAUCCAGACUACUAAUACUUUUCAACAACUACUUCUGGUUAACUUAAGUUGUAUGAUUUGAAGACCUACUAUUUAAAAAAAAAUGUACCAGAGAUGAUUGUUAAAACACUUGAACCAGAACAGCAAUGUGAAAUUGACCUUGGUUCAGACAAAUCAUAAGACCCAUCUUAAGAAAUAAA